rnacentral:rRNA from 1 species
UACGUAGGGGGCAAGCGUUGUCCGGAUUUAUUGGGCGUAAAGAGCGUGUAGGCGGCUAGAUAGGUCCGUUGUGAAAACUCGAGGCUCAACCUCGAGACGUCGAUGGAAACCAUCUGGCUAGAGUCCGGAAGAGGAGAGUGGAAUUCCUGGUGUAGCGGUGAAAUGCGUAGAUAUUGGGAGGAACACCAGUGGCGAAGGCGGCUCACUGGACCGGUUCUGACGCUGAGGCGCGAAAGCGUGGGGAGCAAACGGG